GACGAACGCUGGCGGCGUGCUUAACACAUGCAAGUCGAGCGGUAAGGCCCUUUCGGGGUACGACGAGCGGCGAACGGGUGAGUAACACGUGGGUGACCUGCCCUCAGCUCUGGGAUAAGCCUGGGAAACCGGGUCUAAUACUGGAUAUGACUCCAUGACGCAUGUUGUGGGGUGGAAAGCCUUGUGCGGCUGAGGAUGGGCCCGCGGCCUAUCAGCUUGUUGGUGGGGUGANGGCCUACCAAGGCGACGACGGGUAGCCGGCCUGAGAGGACGACCGGCCACACUGGGACUGAGACACGGCCCAGACUCCUACGGGAGGCAGCAGUGGGGAAUCUUGCGCAAUGGGCGAAAGCCUGACGCAGCGACGCCGCGUGAGGGAUGACGGCCUGGUUGUAA
rnacentral:rRNA from 1 species